CAGAAGAAUCAACAGCUCCAACAGGAAGCACCACCACAACUGGAUUGGCUGCCAGUUCCACAGCGGAAGAAACGACGACACCUUUGCCACCAACUACAACAGGCUCCACCAGUAUUUUGACAAGUGGACAAACAACAACAACAAGAACAACAGAGAUAACCACCACAGCCAGUUCAACUGCCAGUUCCACAACUGAGGUGGUCUGUCUUGGUGAAUGGUCUUCCUGGUCCAAUAUACAUACACCAUCCUAUUACGAUCCAAAUGAUGUUGAGCCCAUACGCAAGAGGUUGUGUGCUCCCACUGAUUCUAUUGGUGACGUUCAGUGUCAAUUUGUACAACACCCUUCGAAGCCACUAAGUGAAUCACAAGACAAUGUGGAAUGCAUUAAAGGAGUAGGAUUGGUGUGUAUUCACUCCAGCAGUUCAUCAGAAACAUUCUGUUCUGACUACCAAAUUCGAGUUUGCUGCGAAAACCAACCGUCAACAACUGUUCCGACGACAACCAGCCUAUUCACAACCUCCACUGAAACAAGUACACCUGAAGUGACCACAACAACAGGGACAAGCACCACACCCUCAACGACCGCC